UGGGGAAUUUUGGACAAUGGGCGAAGCCUGAUCCAGCAAUGCCGCGUGUGUGAAGAAGGCCUUCGGGUUGUAAAGCACUUUUGUCCGGAAAGAAAUCCUUGGCUCUAAUACAGUCGGGGGAUGACGGUACCGGAAGAAUAAGCACCGGCUAACUACGUGCCAGCAGCCGCGGUAAUACGUAGGGUGCAAGCGUUAAUCGGAAUUACUGGGCGUAAAGCGUGCGCAGGCGGUUUGCUAAGACCGAUGUGAAAUCCCCGGGCUCAACCUGGGAACUGCAUUGGUGACUGGCAGGCUAGAGUAUGGCAGAGGGGGGUAGAAUUCCACGUGUAGCAGUGAAAUGCGUAGAGAUGUGGAGGAAUACCGAUGGCGAAGGCAGCCCCCUGGGCCAAUACUGACGCUCAUGCACGAAAGCGUGGGGAGCAAAACAGGAUUAGAUACCCUGGUAGUCCACGCCCUAAACGAUGUCAACUAGUUGUUGGGGAUUCAUUUCCUUAGUAACGUAGCUAACGCGUGAAGUUGACCGCCUGGGGAGUACGGUCGCAAGAUUAAAACUCAAAUGAAUUGACGGGGUCAUAGCUGUUUCCU
rnacentral:rRNA from 1 species